rnacentral:rRNA from 1 species
AGAACGAACGCUGGCGGCAUGCCUAAUACAUGCAAGUCGAACGAAGGCUUCGGCCUUAGUGGCGCACGGGUGCGUAACGCGUGGGAAUCUGCCCCUUGGUUCGGAAUAACAGUUGGAAACGACUGCUAAUACCGGAUGAUGACGAAAGUCCAAAGAUUUAUCGCCAAGGGAUGAGCCCGCGUAGGAUUAGCUAGUUGGUGAGGUAAAGGCUCACCAAGGCGACGAUCCUUAGCUGUCUGAGAGGAUGAUCAGCCACACUGGGACUGAGACACGGCCCAGACUCCUACGGGAGGCAGCAGUAGGAAUAUUGGACAAU